rnacentral:rRNA from 1 species
UCUUUUGACCUUUGACCUCAAAUCA